GCUUUCUUCACGAUCCUUUUCCCGCUUCUUGUAAAGCCUUUCGAGAACACGCUUGGCCUCACAUUGAGGGAAGUUUUCCAGAUCAUAAUAGUGUGCUGCUAUAUCCACCAACCAUUCACCCCGGAUAUCUGUCACUGUACGGAUGAAAUUCCUACUCGUUAGGACGUACUCAUUGUAAAUGACCCACUCUGGUUUCUGAUCCAAGCAAUUCGAUGGAUGCAAGUGUACCACCUGGUUGUCCUUCACUGUCAAGUAGUGUCCAGUCCGUUCCAAAUGAGCUACUUGCAUGAAAUACCCAGAUAGCAUAGCCUUUCUAAUAUUUACGUAGUAGUCACGGCUGUUGAAAUCUGUGCUGCAUAAUUUGAGGUUAAACCUAGACAUGAUGCGGACUAGUUGCUCUCUCACAUUAUCU
rnacentral:misc_RNA from 1 species